AGUUCUGAGAUGGAGGCUGUGGAUGUUAACAUGUCUGAGGCUCCAAGGUGGAGGCUGUGGAUGUUAACGUGUCUGAGGUUCUGAGGAGGCUGUGGAUGUUAACAUGUCUGAGGCUCCAAGGAGGAGGCUGUGGAUGUUAACAAGUCUGAGGUUCUGAGAUGGAGGCUGCGGAUGUUAACGAGCCUGAGGUUCUGAGAUGGAGGCUGCGGAUGUUAACGAGUCUGAGGUUCUGAGAUGGAGGCUGUGGAUGGUUCCUUUUGUCAGAGCACUGAUGACUGACCCCGGCAGUCUGUCCACAGUAGACUCUGUCCACAGUAGAGUCUGUCGUCGGUAGAGUCUGUCCACAGUAGAGUCUGUCCACAGUAGAGUCUGUCCACAGUGGAGUCUGUCGUGUGGCACAGUACUGACAGAGACGGCAUAUCUGUCCAAACAUGGAACAGAGGACCUACCAGCAGGUGAGGAUGCUGGCCGAGGUGAAGAGGAUGAUGGGUACUGGGUAGGAGGCGCACAGCUGCCCGUGGCGGUAGAAGAGGAGGCUGUGGAUGUUAACAAGUCUGAGGUUCUGAGAUGGAGGCUGUGGACGUUAACGUGUCUGAGGCUCCAAGGUGGAGGCUGUGAAUGUUAACGUGUCUGAAGUUCUGAGAUGGAGGCUGUGGAUGUUAACAUGUCUGAGGCUCCAAGGUGGAGGCUGUGGAUGUUAACGUGUCUGAGGUUCUGAGGAGGCUGUGGAUGUUAACGAGUCUGAGGCUCCAAGGAGGAGGCUGUGGAUGUUAACAAGUCUGAGGUUCUGAGAUGGAGACUGUGGACGUUAACGUGUCUGAGGUAAUAAGAUGAAGACUGUGGAUGUUAACGUGUCUGAGGUUCUUAGAUGGAGGCUGUGGAUGUUAAUGUGUCUGAGGUUAUAAGAUGAAGACUGUGGAUGUUAACGUGUCUGAGGUUCUGAGAUGGAGACUGUGGAUGUUAACGUGUCUGAGGUUAUAAGAUGAAGACUGUGGAUGUUAACGUGUCUGAGGUUCUGAGAUGGAGACUGUGGAUGUUAACGUGUCUGAGGUUAUAAGAUGAAGACUGUGGAUGUUAACGUGUCUGAGGUUCUUAGAUGGAGGCUGUGGAUGUUAAUGUGUCUGAGGUUAUAAGAUGAAGACUGUGGAUGUUAACGUGUCUGAGGUUCUGAGAUGGAGACUGUGGAUGUUAACGUGUCUGAGGUUAUAAGAUGAAGACUGUGGAUGUUAACGUGUCUGAGGUUCUUAGAUGGAGGCUGUGGAUGUUAACGUGUCUGAGGCUCCAAGAAGUAGGCUGCGGAUGUUAACGAGUCUGAGGUUCUAAGGUGGAGGCUGUGGAUGUUAACGAGUCUGAGGUUCUGAGAUGGAGGCUGUGGAUGUUAACAUGUCUGAGGCUCCAAGGUGGAGGCUGUGGAUGUUAACGUGUCUGAGGUUCUGAGGAGGCUGUGGAUGUUAACAUGUCUGAGGCUCCAAGGAGGAGGCUGUGGAUGUUAACAAGUCUGAGGUUCUGAGAUGGAGGCUGUGGACGUUAACGUGUCUGAGGCUCCAAGGUGGAGGCUGUGAAUGUUAACGUGUCUGAGGUUUUGAGAUGGAGGCUGUGGAUGUUAACAUGUCUGAGGCUCCAAGGUGGAGGCUGUGGAUGUUAACGUGUCUGAGGUUCUGAGGAGGCUGUGGAUGUUAACAUGUCUGAGGCUCCAAGGAGGAGGCUGUGGAUGUUAACAAGUCUGAGGUUCUGAGAUGGAGGCUGUGGACGUUAACGUGUCUGAGGCUCCAAGGUGGAGGCUGUGAAUGUUAACGUGUCUGAGGUUCUGAGAUGGAGGCUGUGGAUGUUAACAUGUCUGAGGCUCCAAGGUGGAGGCUGUGGAUGUUAACGUGUCUGAGGUUCUGAGGAGGCUGUGGAUGUUAACAUGUCUGAGGCUCCAAGGAGGAGGCUGUGGAUGUUAACAAGUCUGAGGUUCUGAGAUGGAGGCUGUGGACGUUAACGUGUCUGAGGCUCCAAGGUGGAGGCUGUGAAUGUUAACGUGUCUGAGGCUCCAAGGUGGAGGCUGUGAAUGUUGACGUGUCUGAGGUUCUGAGAUGGAGGCUGUGGAUGUUAACAUGUCUGAGGCUCUAAGGUGGAGGCUGUGGAUGUUAACGAGUCUGAGGCUCUAAGGUGGAGGCUGUGGAUGUUAACGAGUCUGAGGUUCUGAGAUGGAGGCUGCAGAUGUUAACGAGCCUGAGGUUCUGAGAUGGAGGCUGCGGAUGUUAACGAGUUUGAGGUUCCGAGAUGGAGGCUGUGGAUGGUUCCUUUUGUCAGAGCACUGAUGACUGACCCCCGCAGGCUGUCCACAGUAGAGUCUGUCCACAGUGGAGUCUGUCCACAGUAGACUCUGUCCACAGUGGAGUCUGUCCUCGGUAGAGUCUGUCCGCGGUAGAGUCUGUCCACAGUAGAGUCUGUC